AAGGCACGAGAUUAAGGAAAGUCUUUGGAUCGACAGACAGUGAUGGGUCAGAAAAGGCCAGUGGUGGGGCUGGCAUCUGCAUUCAGGUUCAUCCCUUGCUCCCUCACCAUGUUUCAAGGGCUAGAGUCAGCAGCUCUGACUUCUGAAUUUUAGGACAGUCAUGUGAGGAGAGACCAGAAGUGACUGCACAGAUCGGACCUCAGGCUACCCUACCCCUUAUCUGUGGGCCAGCCUGGAUCCUUCAGAUGAGAGAUUUUAAACAGAAGGCUAAUAAUUAUCCAGAAGAGACAGGAUGAGGCUUGGACAAAGGAGGUGGAGGGUAUCAAAAGAUAUUUAGAAGAUAAAGGAAGUCUGGACUUGGUGCUGUGGGUAUACCCUCCCUCAUGGCACACACCAGGUUAUUUUGAAGCAAAUCCUAGACGUCAUCAAACAGUUCAAAUUGCCCAAGUGUCUCCUACACACUUCUUUUUUCUUUUACAGUUUGUUUGAAUCUGGGUCCAAAUAAAGUCCACACAUUGCACCUGGUUGUCAUGUCUCGCUCAUCUUGGGUCCUGCCUCCUCUCUACCCCCUCACCUCCUUUCUCCUUCUUUUCUUUUCUUGCAAUUUAUCAGUUGAAGGCAUUGAGCCAUUUCUGGGCCUUAUUCUUGUGAUGUGAUUUAACAUGUUCCUCCAUGCCCUGCAUGUCCUGUAAACUGGUUCUUAGAUCCAGUGGUUGGUUAGUCUCACGUUCAGUUUUCUGGUAAAAACACAUCAUGAGUGACGGUUUGUUCUCCUGAUUCCAUUGCAUCAGGACGCCUGCUUUUCCCUGUUUUUCUAGUGUUUAGGCUGAGCAUUGGGUUCAGGUGUAGUCAGACUAGGCAACAAUUAUAAAAUUCCCCGUCCGUUUUUCACCUAAUGGUUUAGUUGAUCAUCACUGCCUAGCUCUAUUAUUUCAUUAGGAGUUGCAAAAUUGGGAUGUCCUAAUUCUGUCAUUCUGCAGUAAGAACUUGCCAUCAUCAAUUUGUUUACCAUGAGAUACAGGUCAUACAGGAAAGGCAGGAUAAAUGUGUGGGUUUUUUCUUAUGAUUUACCAGUUUUCAGAAAAAUGAGUUGGUUCUCUAGCAUCUUGAAAAAGUAAUUAGUUGUUUUUAAUAUCAUUAUGAACUUGUACAUUUUAACAUCUUUUGUGUAUUUCAAUCCAUUGCAGUUAUUCUUUUUGAUGUUCAAAUUGUCCCAAUUUUGGUCGGUGGGAGCUUCUUCUGGUUGGUGCCUAAGCUUGCUUUCUUUCUUUUUUUUUGAGACGGAGUUUCGCUCUUGUUGCCCAGGCUGGAGUGCAAUGGCGCG
rnacentral:lncRNA from 1 species